ensembl:lincRNA
GUGAAGGAAGCAGUGGCUGUGUGACUGAAACCCUCCCUUGUCAGGGUCCAAAGUCUCUUUUGUUCUUUGGUUUACUUUGUUGUUUUUUUUUCCUACAUCUCAUUGCUUGUCCUAAAAUGAUAAAUAAGAGACUGUCUUUAUCCAAAUGGUGUUAGUAAUCUGCUCACAGGCUAGAAAUCCACGGACAGAAAAAGUAAGUAAACGGAGCCCAGGAAUAGAGAAGGAAGUGCAGGUUGUGGACUGGGCAACCCCCAAGGCGGCAAAGAGGAAACCAGGAUUAAUGAUUGUGCAUCAGGCUGAAAGAGCUUCCCGUUUUUCUUCUGGGGAUGGAUUUAGACCAACCAGAAGAAAGAAAAACGUAACUUCCCAACUCAUCAGGCAAUGUGUCUAAAUGGAGCAGAGAUAUCCUAAUUUUAUUAAAGAAACAUGAGAUGUUAACCCUUAAGUCAGUGUUAUCAGAAUGUGAAUCCUGACCAGGAACAUCAACAUCACCUGGAAACUUGUUAGAAAUGCAGAUUCUCCAGACCUACUGGGUAAGACACUUGGAGACCUAGAAAGCUGUUUUUAAACAAGGCCUGAAGGUGUUUUUAGCACAGGCUGAUGCCCUAAAUUACAGACUUGUGUUGUGUAGUUAAACUUUCUGGCCGGGCGCGGUGGCUCAUGCCUGUAAUCCCAGCGCUUUGGGAGGCCGAGGCGGGUGGAUCACGAGGUCAGGAGAUCGACAGCAUCCUGGCUAACAUGGUGAACCCCCGUCUCUACUAAAAAUACAAAAAAUUAGCCAGGCGCGGUGGCGGGGGCCUGUAGUCCCAGCUACUCGGGAGGCUGAGGCAGGAGAAUGGUGUGAACCCGGGAGGCGGAGCUUGCAGUGAGCCAAGAUCGCGCCACUGCACUCCAGCCUGGGCGGCAGAGCGAGACUCCGUCUACAAAAAAAAAAAAAACUUUCUGAGAUGGUGGAAAUUUUUUUUCCACUUUUAUUCUAGGUUCAGAGGUACAUGUGCAGGUUUGUAAUAUAGGUGAAUUACGUGUCACAGGGGUUUGAUGUACAGAUUAUUUCAUCACCCAGGCAAUCAGCAUAGCACCCUCUAGGUAGUUUUUUGAUCCUCACCCUCUCCUGCCCUCCACCCUCAAGUAGGCCCGGUGUCUGUCGUUCCCUUCUUUGUGUCCUGGAAAUGUUUUAUACUCUCUGCUGUCCAAUAAGGUACCUACUAACCACAUGUGAUUACUGAGCAUUUGAAAUACAGGUAGUGUGACUGAUAAACUAAAUUUUUAAUUUUAUUUAAUUUUUAUUUCAUUUUAUUAUUUGAGACAGAUCUUGCUCUGUCACCCAGGCUGGUGUGCAGUGGUGUGAACCUGGCUCACUGCAGCCUCAACCUCUUGGAGUCAAGGGAUCCUCCUGCCUCAGCCUCCUGAGUAGCUGGAACAGUAUACUCCUGGGCUCAAGCGAUCAUCCCAUCUUGGCUUCCUAAAGUCCUGGGAUACAGGUGUGAGCCACCGCGCUCAGCCUUUAUUUAAUGUUAAUUAAAAUCUAAAUAGCCACAUAUGUUCAGUGGCGUCCAUGUUUAGAUGGCACAGCUAUUGUCUCCUUACAUCCUUGACUACGGUUCCUUUUUUAGAUCAACCCUCACCUCCAAGGAGAACUACUAAUGUAGGCAAUUAGCAGCAAUUAUAUAGCAGGAUAGUCUCAGAAAACCAUUGGAAUUGGUGCAGUCUUGUGUGGGUGCAUUAUCUAGGGAGCUUCGCAUUUUGUCUAUGUAUGGAAUUGGUUUUAAAGAGAAUAGAUAAGACCAUUUGUCUUAGUUUGUGCUGCUAUAACAAAAUACCACAGACUGAAUAAUCUAUAAACAAUAGACAUUUAUUUUUUAUAGAUCCAUAGACAGAGAAGUCCAUGGUCAAGGCAUCAGGUGAUGAGGCCCCAGUCUCUCUGCAUCUAAGAUGGUGCUUUGUUGCUGCAUCCCCUGGAGGGGAGGAACGCUAUGUCCUCACAAAGCAGAAGGGACAGAAAGGGCAAAAAGGGGUCAAACUCCCUCCAUCAAGCCCUUUUAUAAUGGCAUUAACCCAUUAAUGAGGGCAGAGUCCAAAUGACCUAAAGGCCUCCCAAAAGGCCCUACCUCCCAAUACUGUUGCAUUGGUAAUUAAGUUACCAAGAUAUGAAUUUUGGGGGACACAUUCAGACUAUAGCACCAUUCAAUCCACAUGACCCUUAUAUUAGCCUGUGUAAUACCAAAAGUAGUAAUUAGGUUAUUUACACAGAUUGAUUACCCUGUGUAGACAGUGAACAAUGGCUCUGAUGCACAAUUAAGAUGAACUUCACAAAUACUGUCCUAGAGAUGACUUUGGUAAAGGGUCAUAGAAAACUUUAUGAAAUGCAUUUUUUUUUUUUGAGACAGAGUCUUGCUGUGUCCCCCAGGCUGGAGUGCAGUGGCUCAAUCUCGGCUCACUGCAAGCUCUGCCUCCCGGGUUCAUGCCAUUCUCCUGCCUCAGCCUCCCGGAGUAGCUGGGACUACCAGCGCCUGCCACCACACUCGGCUAAUUUUUUGUAUUUUUAGUAGAGACGGGGUUUCAUCGUGUUAGCCAGGAUGGUCUCGAUCUCCUGACCUCGCAAUCCGCCCGCCUCGGCCUCCCAAAGUGCUGGGAUUACAGGCGUGAGCCACCGUGCCCGGCCAUGAAAUGCAUUUUUUAAGCAUGUUAGAAUAUUCAGGUAUGAUACCUCAUUUGAUUUGAUUCAGAGGCAAUUUUCAGACAAAUGUCCAAAGGAGAGAGAGAGACUCAGCUAGUGGACAUAAGCUUUCUUGACACUACAGUGAAAAAGAUAUUAAGAAUAUUAAAUCCCUUCUGCUCACGUGGGGAAGUUCAUUAGCAAGAGCCAGGGGUCAAUUCCAACAAACAUAUAUUGACUCCUAUGGGCCAGCACUGACGAGAAUUUAAUGAUAGCACAGUUGUGUUCCUGGCAGAUGCAUGAUGAGAGUUGUGCUUUAGGAAACUUACUUUGAUCAGGGGCUAUUGUGGGACUUCUUGCUAGGGACAGGGAAGACCAGAAUGAGGUGGUUGUUGGUGGGACUGGAAAGGCAAGUUAUGUGAAGCCUUGCAAAGUUAGAAUCUCAGGGGAACUUAUAAGAUAUGGGAAUUAAACUUUGUUAUAAUAAUGAGGUUUAAAUUUGGGUACUAGGAAAUGGUGCUAUUAUUCACAUCACAUUAGAACAAAAGAGAUAUGGAAGAGAGGAAGAUGUACUGUGAACUUGAGUGAUUCCUCCCUUCUUGGUUUUUGCAGAGCACUUCAUAUAGGUUGCAUAGUUUUUAUUCUACAAAAUAAUGCUUUGCUGGAUUGGGAGUUCCUAAAUUACAAGGACUACAUCUUAUUUAACUUUAUAUUGCUAGUACUAGACUAAAGGCCUAGCACAGAGAUAUUGACUAAGUCAUGAGUAAAUGACUGAAUGGAUGAAUAAAGAAAAUGCUAGGGGCCUGGCGAAGUGGUUCACGUCUAUAAUCCCAGCACUUCGGGAGGCCAAGGCGGGUGGAUCACAAGGUCAGGAGUUUAAGACCAGACUGGCCAACAUGCUGAAACCCCGUCUCUACUAAAAAUAAAAAAUUAGCUGGGCAUGCUGGCGGGCGCCUGUAAUCCCAGCUGCUCAGGAGGCUGAGGCGGGAGAAUCGCUUGAAGCCAGGAGGCGGAGGUUGCAGUAAGCUGAGAUCGUGCCACUGCACUCCAGCCUGGGCGACAGAGCGAGACUCCAUCUACAAAAAAAAAAAAAAAAGGAAAUGCUAGGGACUUGGGUUAGUUCUCUUAAUUGCUGCCAAGCCUAAGUUUAGGUGUCUCCACAGGAGUGUUGCCAUUGGCUCAGAUAAGGAAUAUUAAUGUCGAAUAUAUGUCAUAGGUCUGGGUUUUGGUUGGUAAGUGGUGGUGGGUGGUAGUGCGGGUAUGUGGUGUGAAGUAAGCAGAGGGUAUUGUGUGAUGGAUAGAAGAAAAGACAUCUAAGUAGGUACAUUUAUUUAUUUAAUGUAUUUAUUUUAAUCUUUUUUGUCUUUCUUUUCAAAACAAUAUUUUUUUGUAGAGAUGGGUUCUCACUAAGUUGCUCAGACUAGUCUCGAACUCCUGUGUUCAAGCGAUCCUCCUGCCUUGGCCUCCCAAAGGGCUGCAAUUACAAGUGGUACAUUUAUUUUUAGUAUGCUCCUACUUCCCUUUCUAUUACUAUGAUUAAAUUUUGUUUCUCUAUUUCCUAAUUCUCAGAUAUCUAUUCAUUUAUUAACUCAACUAAUAUGCAUUUUCACCUAAUGUAUACCAGGCAUUGUGUAAUGUGCUGGGAUACAAAAUCCAAAGAGCAAUUUCUGGAGUGCAGGUUAUCCUAGCCAUUAGGCUUGUGCUGUUCUCUUGCAAUUCAUAUUAGCAUGCCCAGUGAGUCUUUGAUAGUCUCUUUGUUUUCUGGUGCAAUAUGGUAUCCCAUGUUUAUCUUACAUUGCAUCAUUUCUCUUUGAAAUAGUUCCCCUUACUUCAAAGAAAUGCAUAGUAAAAUUUAUGCUAUCUAAAAAUGUCUUUUUUUCUGCUU